AGCAAUAUAAAAAACCCGGAGCGACAGGAAAACACAUCAGGAAGUGCCGUUCCAAAAGGCAUUACUUCCGACACCAACCAGAACCAGCCAGAACACCCGUCAUUGCUAGCUUGGAGUGUUGACAACUUGACAUUGACAGCUUUUGAACAUUUGUGGAGCAGAGGUGCACCAUGGCUUGCCACAAUGUCACAACUGGUCCUUGGAGAGCCGCUGGUGGUGACAGGCUGCCUGUGUCCUCUCUGCGGCAAAACUCCACAAAUACUCCACUCACCAAGUUCCAGAGGGAGAGGAUCACCAGACACCACCGGCCGUACUAAAGGAAGUUGCUCUAUGUAGGGAUGGAACAUGGC
rnacentral:lncRNA from 1 species